rnacentral:rRNA from 1 species
GUUGAUCCUGCGGGAGAUUGCUGCUAUUAGGAUUCGACUUAGGCAUGCAAGUCUGGGCUCUUCGGAGACCGGCGUAAGGCUCAGUAACACGUUGAUAAUUUGCCCUUAGGUCAGGAAUAACCUUGCGAAAGUGAGGCUAACACCUGAUAGAGGAUUACUACUGGAAUGUGUUUUCCUCCAAAAGUAAUGCCUAAGGAUAAGUCAGCGGCUGAUUAGGUUGAUGGUGAGGUAAAGGCUCACCAUGCCAAUGAUCAGUAGGGGGGAUGAGAGUCCUAGCCCCGAGAAGGGCACUGAGAUACUGGCCCUAGCCCUAAGGGGUGCAGCAGUUACGAAACCUUUACAAUGCACGAAAGUGUGAUAAGGGAAUCCUAAGUGCUCUACUUUGUAGAGCUUUUAUCAAAUGUAAAAAGUUUGGUGAAUAAGUGAUGGGUAAGACCGGUGCCAGCCGCCGCGGUAACACCGGCGUCACGAGUGGUAAUCAUGUUUAUUUGGCCUAAAGCGUCCGUAGCUGGUUAAGUAAAUUCCUUGUUAAAUUGUCAAGCUCAACUUGACACCUGCACGGAACACUGCUUGACUUGAGACCGGGAGGAGAUAGGAGUAUUUUGUGGGGAGCGGUAAAAUGCUAUAAUCCACAGAGGACUACCAGUGGCGAAGGCGCCUAUCCAGAACGGGUCUGACAGUGAGGGACGAAAGCUGAGGUAUCGAUCAGGAUUAGAUACCCUAGUAGUCUCAGCUGUAAACGCUGCGAGCUAUGUGUUGCAUAUUCUUCGUGGAUAUGCAGUGCCUAAGUGAAGACGUUAAGCUCGCCGCCUGGGAAGUACGGCCGCAGGACUGAAACUUAAAGGAAUUGGCGGGGGCUCACUACAAGGGGUGCGGCGUGCGGUUCAAUUGGAUUCUACGCCGAAAACCUCACCCGGAGCGACGGCAGAAUGAAGGUCAGAUUAAAGGUUUUACCUAACAAGCCGAGAGGAGCUGCAUGGCCGUCGUCAGUUCGUGCUGUGAAGUGUUCUGUUAAGUCAGCCAACGAACAAGACCCGUGCUUAUAUUUGCUAACGUCUAAUUUUUUAGGAGCGAGCACAAUAUGAGGACCGCCCUCGAAAGGGGGAGGAAGGUGCGGGCAACGAUAGGUCAGUAUGGCCCGAAUCUCCGGGGCUACACGCGCGCAACAAUGGUAUGGACAAUGGGACGCAACUCUGAAAAGAGAAGCAAAUCCUCGAAACCAUAUCUUAGUUUAGAUUGAGGUUUGCAAUUUAACCUCAUGACAACGGAAUCCCUAGUAAUCGGAAUUCAUUAGGUUCCGGUGAACAUGUCCCUGAGCCUUGCACACACCGCCCGUCAAUCCAACCGAGCAGGGUCUAAGUGAGGACUAAUUUAUUGGUUAUUUCAAACUUAGGCUCAGUGAGGUGGGGUAAGUCGUCACAAGGUA